rnacentral:rRNA from 1 species
AGAGUUUGAUCCUGGCUCAGAGUGAACGCUGGCGGCAGGCCUAAUACAUGCAAGUCGAACGGCAGCACAGCUUAAGCUUGCUUAAGUGGGUGGCGAGUGGCGGACGGGUGAGGAAUACAUGGGAAUCUGCCCAGUCGUGGGGGAUAACGUAUGGAAACGUACGCUAAUACCGCAUGCGCCCUUCGGGGGAAAGCCGGGGACCUUCGGGCCUGGCGCGAUUGGAUGAGCCCAUGUCGGAUUAGCUAGUUGGUGGGGUAAAGGCCCACCAAGGCGACGAUCCGUAGCUGGUCUGAGAGGAUGAUCAGUCACACUGGAACUGAGACACGGUCCAGACUCCUACGGGAGGCAGCAGUAGGGAAUAUUGGACAAUGGGCGCAAGCCUGAUCCAGCCAUGCCGCGUGAGUGAAGAAGGCCUUCGGGUUGUAAAGCUCUUUUGUCCGGAAAGAAAAGCACUGGGUUAAUACCCUGGUGUCCUGACGGUACCGGAAGAAUAAGCACCGGCUAACUUCGUGCCAGCAGCCGCGGUAAUACGAAGGGUGCAAGCGUUACUCGGAAUUACUGGGCGUAAAGCGUGCGUAGGUGGUUCGUUAAGUCUGAUGUGAAAGCCCUGGGCUCAACCUGGGAAUUGCAUUGGAUACUGGCGGGCUAGAGUGCGGUAGAGGGUAGUGGAAUUCCCGGUGUAGCAGUGAAAUGCGUAGAGAUCGGGAGGAACAUCUGUGGCGAAGGCGACUACCUGGACCAGCACUGACACUGAGGCACGAAAGCGUGGGGAGCAAACAGGAUUAGAUACCCUGGUAGUCC